rnacentral:rRNA from 1 species
AUUGAACGCUGGCGGAAUGCUUUACACAUGCAAGUCGAACGGCAGCACGGACUUCGGUCUGGUGGCGAGUGGCGAACGGGUGAGUAAUGAAUCGGAACGUGCCCAGUCGUGGGGGAUAACGUAGUGAAAAUUACGCUAAUACCGCAUACGAUCUAUGGAAGAAAGCGGGGGAUCGCAAGACCUCGCGCGAUUGGAGCGGCCGAUAUCAGAUUAGGUAGUUGGUGGGGUAAAGGCCCACCAAGCCAACGAUCUGUAGCUGGUCUGAGAGGACGACCAGCCACACUGGAACUGAGACACGGUCCAGACUCCUACGGGAGGCAGCAGUGGGGAAUUUUGGACAAUGGGCGAAAGCCUGAUCCAGCCAUUCCGCGUGCAGGAUGAAGGCCCUCGGGUUGUAAACUGCUUUUGUACAGAACGAAAAGGUUUCUACUAAUACUAGGAGCUCAUGACGGUACUGUAAGAAUAAGCACCGGCUAACUACGUGCCAGCAGCCGCGGUAA